rnacentral:snRNA from 1 species
GCACUUUAACAGCACAUAUACCAAAACUGUAAAAGUACAAAUAUUAGCAUCCUGUGCAAGGAUUAUAUGCAAAUUUUUGAAGCAUUUCAUAUUUUU